GUCCACGCCCUAAACGAUGUCGACUGGUUGUUGGGGGUUUGACACUCUCAGUAACGAAGCUAACGCGUGAAGUCGACCGCCUGGGGAGUACGGCCGCAAGGUUAAAACUCAAAGGAAUUUACGGGGACCCGCACAAGCGGUGGAUUAUGUGGAUUAAUUCGAUGCAACGCGAAAAACCUUACCUACCCUUGACAUGUCCGAGAGCCCGCAUAGAUGUGGGUGUGCCCGAAAGGGAAUCGGAACACAGGUGCUGCAUGGCUGUCGU
rnacentral:rRNA from 1 species